rnacentral:rRNA from 1 species
AUUGAACGCUGGCGGCAUGCCUAACACAUGCAAGUCGAGCGGACGAAGGGAGCUUGCUCCUGGAUUCAGCGGCGGACGGGCGAGUAAUGCCUAGGAAUCUGCCUGGUAGUGGGGGAUAACGUCCCUACACGGGCGCUAAUACCGCAUACGUUCUUAGGGUGAAAGGGGGGGUUCUUCGGACCUCACGCUUUCAGCUGAGCCUAGGACGGAUUAGCGAGUUGGUGGGGUAAAGGCCUACCAAGGCGACGAUCCGUAACUGAUCUGAGAGGGUGAUCGGUCACACUGGAACUGAGACACGGUCCAGACUCCUACGGGAGGCAGCAGUGGGGAAUAUUGGACAAUGGGCGAAAGCCUGAUGCAGCCAUGCCGCGUGUGUGAAGAAGGUCUUCGGAUUGUAAAGCUCUGUUAGUUGGGAGGAAGGGCAGUGAGUGAAUACCUUGCUGUUUUGACGUUACCAACAGAAAAAGCACCGGCUAACUUCGUG